rnacentral:misc_RNA from 1 species
AAAGUCGUAACAAGGUAACCGUAGGUGAACCUGCGGUUGGAUCAUUAAUAAAUUUGGAAAUUUCAAAUUUCCGAACCUUGUGUGCACUCGUAUCUGUCUCUGGCAGGGUUAAUCUGAGGUUUCGCUCAAACCCGUCGGUGUAAAAUCCUUCGGGUUGGAAAUCUCUGCCUGCCAUGUAGUGCCCGGUUUCGACUGGGCGCUGCUUUUGAAUAAACCAAUUGUCUCUUGAAUUAUAGUCUGAUUCUAUUCACUUUUGUGAAAUGGAGAAAACAACUUUUGACAACGGAUCUCUUGGCUCUC